GCCUUCGUGGUGUAAUGGUCAGCACGUUCGACUCGUAUUCGGGAAGCCUUGGCUCGAGUCCCGAAGAAGGCG
rnacentral:tRNA from 1 species